CACGUAGGCAGAUCCGCCCAGGGGGCCCCAGAGGGUGUGCAUGCCUCAAGCAGCCCUCUAAAGGUCCCCGCCAAGUCUGUCCCAGGGGUGGCUUCUGCCCUAGGAAGGCCAGCAGUUUACUGAACUCCACCCAGGAGCUGGUUUGUAAAGCGAGAAGGGAGGCUGGGCUGCUGGCUGCCCUGCCUGAUCCAGACACAACACUGAUCCAAAAAGCACACGGAAGGCUGUUCAGCAGAGAUGAGCAGAUGAUGAAGAAGAUUCAGAGAGGUCAAACUACUUGCCUAUGGACACUGACUGGGCUCUCUGCCUGGUGAACUCCGACUCCGCAGCGUGUGCACAGCCUCGGCUGGAGCCGCAGGGAGCAGGUGUUGGAGCAUCGCAGGUGUUGGAGCAUCACAGGUGUGGACAGCAAGGUCAGCAGAACUUCAAUGUCAGCGUGUGAGACCCCUGCUAUUGGUGUCAGACAAAGUGCUUUGCAAAGCCCGGAGAUCCACACCAGGCUCCGGCAGACCCUGUGUCAGUCCUGCGCAAGGCUUCACCCCCUGGUACCGCCUGAGGGGGAGGCAGGGACUCGGCCUGAGAGGGCUGCGGGAUGCGGGCUUUGGGGAUGCUCCCCAAGUGCCUUGGGCCUGGCCAGGUCGGGACGUCCCUGGGGAUGAGAGAUAGCCCCCGCGGGCUCCUGGGCCCCACCUGAGAAGGUGUGCAAGGGAGAAGCAGGAGCCCAGAGUCCCCAAGCUCCCAGGGGCCUGCUGCCUGAGCCGGCUGCCAGACAGCUCUGUGGCACCACCAGGCUCAGGAACUUAUUCAGGAAACAAGGACUUCCGGAGAGCCUGCUUCAAGUCAGGCCCUGGGCUGGGCUCUGAGGACUCGGUGAGGAACAGCAGACGCAGCCCCUGCCUUCACAGAGCUGGCACUCCAGCGGGAGGGACAGACACAGCCUGUCAAAUAGAGACGGAAGGAUUUGGCAGCAGCUAUGUCAGUACCACGAAGGAGGAUGGGAGCUGGUGUGGUAGGCCUCAGACCUGGUCUAGGGGGACCCCCAGAAGUGUGUUUCAGCCGAGAUCCCCAGGAGGACAGGAAGCAGCCGGGAAGCACUAUGGGGUGGUGACUGGGCUGGCCCCUUUUGCUCGUGUGAGCACUCUGAGCCCUGGGGCCUCCUCUGUACUGGGGAGAGGGUAUGCGUCUUCUCCCAGGGGCUGGGCCGCUCCAGUGGGUGCUGGGGAAGCAGCUGGCAAAGGCAGGUGCUUCAUUACACUUGACAGGCUACCCGUGUGCCUGGCUGUGCCCGGGAGCAGAGAUGGAGGAGACCCGGCUGGGACCGCCACCCAGGGUUUGACCCAAGAGCAGCCUCCACCCAGAAGAGGCACCUGACACUACUCCAGCCGACCCCUGGGGACAGGGUACUAUGACAGUCCAGAGAGAUAAGGCUAGUAAACCCCUAGCAAUUAAAGCAUAAUUAAUACAGCACAACCAUUAGGGACAAUUACGGACUUAACUCUGCCUCCCGCUUCCGGGCCCACGGGCAUC
rnacentral:lncRNA from 1 species